rnacentral:rRNA from 1 species
GACGAACGCUGGCGGCGUGCUUAACACAUGCAAGUCGAACGGAAAGGCCCUGCUUUUGUGGGGUGCUCGAGUGGCGAACGGGUGAGUAACACGUGAGUAACCCGUCCUUGAAUUUGGGAUAACUUCAGGAAAAUGGGGCUAAUACCCGAUAGGAGCUCCUGCUGCAUGGUGGGGGUUGGUAAGUUUCGGUGGUUGGGGAUGGACUCGCGGCUUAUCCGCUUGUUGGUGGGGUAGUGGCUGACCAAGGCUAUGACGGGUAGCCCGCCUGAGAGGUGGACCGGCCACAUUGGGCCUGCGAUACGGCCCAGCCUCCUACGGGAGGCAGUAGGGGGGAAUAUUGCGCAGUGGGCGGAAGCGUGAUGCGACAACGCCGCGUGCGGGAUAACGGGCUUCGGGUUGUAAACCGCUUUCGCCUGUGACGAAGCGUGAGUGACGGUAAUUGGUAAAGAAGCACCGGCUAACUACGUG